GUGCACCAGGCGCGAAACUUUACAAUGUGCGAAAGCACGAUAAGGGAACUCUGAGUGCCUCCUAAGGAGGCUGUUCAGGUGUCUAAAAGCACCUGAAGGAAGGGCUGGGUAAGACCGGUGCCAGCCGCCGCGGUAACACCGGCAGCCCAAGUGGUAGCCACGUUUAUUGGGUCUAAAGCGUCCGUAGCCGGCUGGGUAAGUUCCUUGGGAAAUCUGGCUGCUUAACAGUCAAGCUUUCAGGGAAUACUGCCCGGCUUGGGGACCGGGAGAGGUCAGAGGUACUCCAGGGGUAGGGGUGAAAUCCAUUAAUCCUUGGGGGACCACCGGUAGCGAAGGCGUCUGACCAGACCGGGUCCGACGGUGAGGGACGAAGGCUAGGGGCGCGAACCGGAUUAGAUACCCGUGUAGU
rnacentral:rRNA from 1 species